UACGGGGGGGAGCAAGCGUUGUUCGGAUUUACUGGGCGUAAAGGGCGCGUAGGCGGUCAGCACAAGUCAGUUGUGAAAUCUCCGGGCUUAACUCGGAAAGGUCAACUGAUACUGUGCGACUAGAGUGCAGAAGGGGCAACUGGAAUUCUCGGUGUAGCGGUGAAAUGCGCAGAUAUCAGGAGGAACACCGGUGGCGAAGGCGGGUCUCUGGGGCCGAUACUGACGCUGAGGAGCGAAAGCGUGGGGAGCGAACAGG
rnacentral:rRNA from 1 species